GGCACUCUGCCCGAGUGGUUAAGGGGUAAGUCUCGAAUUCAAACUAUUCGAUCGUCGCUAUGUGACGGGUUAACUUAUAGGCUCUGCCUGCGUCGGUUCAAAUCCGACGGGUGUCG
rnacentral:tRNA from 1 species